rnacentral:misc_RNA from 1 species
GCAUGUUUCUAAUUGAAACAACUAGCAGGAAAGAUCUCUUCCAUAAGGGAAAAUUUAUCAAGGUCAGUUUUGGUGUUACAUCACAGAACUAUGAUAUUUAGAAUGAUGGAAAAAAUAGGGUGAAGAGGUGUCUUCCAAAGGACUGAUAAUGUGCUCAGAUGAAUUAAACAUUGGAACAACUGUUUAAAAGUACACUGCCAUUUAUGAACUUGAAGUAGAAAGAAAGAAGAAGAAGAAGA